rnacentral:rRNA from 1 species
CUGGUUGAUCCUGCCGGAGGCCAUUGCUAUUGGAGUUCGAUUUAGCCAUGCUAGUUGCACGAGUUUAGACUCGUGGCGGAAAGCUCAGUAACACGUGGUCAAACUACCCUAUAGACCAGGAUAACCUCGAGAAACUGAGGGUAAUCCUAGAUAACGCUCCUCUGCUGGAACUGCAGGGAGCCGGAAACGCUCCGGCGCUAUAGGAUGUGACUGCGGCCGAUUAGGUAGACGGUGGGGUAACGGCCCACCGUGCCGAUAAUCGGUACGGGUUGUGAGAGCAAGAGCCCGGAGAUGGAUUCUGAGACAAGAAUCCAGGCCCUACGGGGCGCAGCAGGGGCGAAAACUUUACACUGCACGACAGUGCGAUAAGGGAACUCCAAGGGGGAGGGCAUAACGUCCUCGCUUUUGGGGAUCGUAAGGGGGGACACGAAUAAGAGCUGGGCAAGACCGGUGGCNGCCGCCGCGGUAAUACCGGCAGCUCAAGUGAUGGCCAAUUUUAGUGGGGCUAAAGGGUCCGUAGCCGGGCAGACAGGGUCCGUCGGGAAAUCUGGUCGCUCAACGAGCAGGCGUCCGACGGAAAGCCGCUGGCUUGGGACCAGAAGACUCNAGGGGGUACGUCUUGGGGGGUAGGAGUGANAUCCUGUAAUCCUAGACGGACCGCCGAUCGCGAAAG